GCUCGGCGAAUUCCGACUGGCAUUAGAUUUCGGUCUCCCGUCCCAGCUCCUCGGAUGCUCGGCGUCGGUCUUUCCAAGGCGGUUCUCGCCAUCGUGAGCCUCUUACGAGCUUCUGGCUAGUAUUCAGUGGUAUGCUAUUCACUCAUUUUUUGUACUUCUCCUCCUUGUUGUGGUUGCUGCUUCUGCUAUAUGUUAUUUUCUUGGUUAGAUGUCAUCACUUGGCUUCAGAGGAUCUGUUCGGCUUCAAGAAUUUUAGAUUGAAAGAACUAGGCCUUUAGUUUGAAGCCUGAAGUCGAGUUAUGUUUCAACUGGCGUGUGGAAGAAAGGGGCUGUGGCUUUAAUCUGAUGGAAUCUUUAGGAAUCUGUGAGGAGAACAGGGGCUGGACACCCUGUACUGUUGGCUUGCAAUUAUAAGAUUUUGGUGUCUUCUAAAUUGGAUAUAAGUUGGGUUACAAGGGAGCCGGAAUCAUUAAUGAAAUAUCUUUUUUAGCCGUUUGACAAGUUACCUACUUUUGUACAAAAUCUGGGGGCGUUUUGAUUCUCCUUCUCUUGCAACGCCUUCUCUCGGACCAUGAAGAAAUCUUUUCUUGUUGAACAAAUUAACCACUCAAUGCAAGGAAUUUUGACAGAUGGUACAAAGAAUUCAUCAUUUUAGUUCUGCUGCAGAGAAUCAAUUUUGUUGCAUUUUAAGGUCAAUGGAAAAUAAUCAUUUCUCAUGGUAUCUUGAUAUACAUUUUAAUCAUUUAGCUUUUCAUAUAACUAAUCUGUCCUUCAAGUUUAUCAUCUCUCCCUCACUCUUUCUUUUUAAUUUUUCAUCUUUCUCAUUGUUCUUUAUUCCACAAUCUUUUGAUACCAGGACAUCUACAACCAUGUCCAGAUUUUUGAUAGUUUAUUUCUUCACUUGGAUUAUAAAAUAGUUGGUUGCUUGGAGGUGUGCAUUAUCCAUGAUACAGGACAGGGAAUUAGCAGCGAUGAAGAUGGAAGCGAUAGGGAUGAAGACGCUGAUUCAAGGGGUUGAUCAUGAUGGAAACCCAACCAUGGAGUGCUGGAUUAAGAGUCCUUUUUGCAUUUGAGUUCUGGUUUAGCCAAGUCAAAAGUCCUUCUAAUAUUUUGUUCCUAAAUUAAGUCAGGAUUAGCAUCUUUGUUUGAUUAAGUUUCUGAGUUACGAGUCCUUGUUGGUUUAGCCUUAAGAUUUAGUUUUUCUUUGAGUUCGUUUGCGAUGAGUUACGGUGUGUGCGAUCCUAUAUAAGGAAUCGCAAGGAGGGCUCGUUCCUUCUUCUGCUUGGUCUUUGUUUUUUCAGCCAUCAAUGAAUGAAAAUUAUGCUNNNNNNNNNNNNNNNNNNNNNNNNNNNCAUGCUCUGUUUCUGGUUCAGCAAACAGAGUUUUACUUGAUUUUUGCAGUGUCUAUUUGGUUCUGAGUUUCCCUCAGACCCAGCAGCAUUGUGAACUCCUUUUCUCCACGCUCCAGCCGCAUCAUUUGGUAUCAGAGCGAGGAUUUCCCUGGUUUGAUGGCAAAUGAUAGUGUGGCAAGUGUGCAUCCCAGCGACGGCAAACCUAGAGUGCCCGCUGGGCACCUAUUCGUGGCUUGCAAGGAGUCGUCCGUGACAUCCAACAGGUGCUCCAAGGCAUGCAAAUCGACCCCAACCGGGAGCGCGUGCAGGCUCAUGAGGAUCUCCAUCACGGUCCACCGGCACCGACGUGAGAUCCACCUCACCGGCGUCGCCAACAAGUUCCUCCGGAGUCUUCCAACGAGGAAGAAGAUGACGCGGUCUGUGGGGCAUUUGGUGGACUGCGUCUACACCUAGGUGAAUACGAAUUUGAUGGGAGCGACCGAAUCAGAAGAGCCUUCGAUUGUCGCUUUCCAGAUGGAGGAGCGGCUGACGAAGGAUUUAGCGGGCUACGUCCAUGGAGGAACAGGCCGGAGGCGUUUGACUGCAGGCUUCACGUUGGAGGUGCGGCCUUUGACCGCCGAAUCCCUGUUGAAGAGGGCAUUUUCGAGGAAGCCAACGAGUUACGUGCAUGGAGAGGAGACCCUACAGGCUAUAGGCAUGAAGGGUGCCAAUUUCCAGAGGGAGGAGUGCCCGACGAAGUUCUCGGUGGGUUGCGACCACAGCGGAACAGGGACCAUGCGGGCUUCAGGUGGAACGCAGAACCUGUAGCGUACGGGGUCAAUUGGGGCGCUCGGAACAAGGGCUUCCCUGAUUUCAGACUGAAGGUGGAUCUUCCUACCUUCAGUAGCAAUCUUCACAUUGAGGGAAUUUUGGAUUGGUUGGCCAAAGUAGAAAAAUUCUUCGAUUACAUGGAGAUCCCGGAUCAAAAGAAAGUGAAGUUGGUCACGUACAAAUUGAGAGGUGGAGCAACUGAAUGGUGGGAUCAAUUGCAAUAUAACCGUCUACAGCAAGGGAAGAUGCAGAUCACCACUUGGCGUAAGAUGAAGCAACAUCUAUGCGGCCGUUUCCUCCCGCCUGACUACAAGCAGGCACUCUACCAUUAGUACCAGAAUUUCCGAUAGAGCCCCCGGAUGGUGACCUAUGAAUUCAACCGUCUCAAUGCCUGCAACAACCUGUCGGAAACAGAAAAUCAGCAAGUGGCGAAGUACAUCGGUGGAUUGAAGCCGACAAUUCGAGAUCAUGUGGAUUUAUUUCCGGUGUGGAGCCAGUUGGAAGCCACAAAUUUGGCCCUAAAGCUCGAGGCACAAGCAGCAUGGAAGGCAAACCAGCCCACAAAUCGACAGUUUUCUCGAACUCCCCCAUAGCAAAGCAGAAGGCCGUUGAUGUGGCUGGCACUUCGGGCCAACCGCCACCAAUGUCCACAACCAGAAGAAAUGAAAAUUUCAGCAAAUAGUCGACGGCCCCAAAAGGUAAUAAAAAUCCCCUAUGAAAAGCCAAUGCCUAUAAAAUGUUACAGGUGUUAGGAGGUUGGGCAUCAGUCCAACGAAUGUCCGAAGAGGCGAUCAGUCAACGUGGUCGAAGCUGUGGAAGAAGAAGGGGUGCCUUUUGAGGAGGAAGAACAAGAGGAGGCGCCGACCGACGGCGACAACAUCGUGGUGACAAUGCUUGAUCAGGGGCCUCCAGCUUCUUUCGUGGUUCAAUAUAUCCUGUUUGUCCUAAAGAGUGAAGAAGAGUCGCUACGCCACAAUAUCUUCAAGAUCCGUUGUACCGUCAACAAAAUUGUGUGUAAUGUGAUUAUUGACAGCGGCAGCAACGAGAAUAUUGUUUCUUCCGCAUUGGUUCAUGCGAUGGGAUUGAAGACAGAGAGGCAUCCAUCUCCCUACAAGAUUGGUUGGAUUAAAAAAGGGACGAAAAGGAGAGUGGACAAGAUUUGUAGAGUGCCACUAUCGAUCGGGCAAUACUACAGGGAUGAGGUUUUGUGUGAUGUGGCCGAAAUGGACGCAUACCAUAUUCUACUUGGGCGUCCCUAGCAGCAUGAUACGGAUGUUACAUAUGGGGGUCGAGAUAAUACUUAUUUGUUUCAUUGGCAGGGUAAGACGAUCCUACUAGUGCCAGGUAAUGAAAGCACUACUCCCAAAGCUUCUAAAGUGGAGGGAAAGUCUUUUCUCAUUGUGCCAGAGAAGAUAGAUGAAUUGAUCGAGAAGCAGCUAUAUCCAAACAUUAACUCGAGAAUGAGUUGUUUUCAAGUGGAGGGGACUGAUGCAGGAUAGAGAAUAAGCAGUGAUGAAGAUGGAAGUGAUAGGGAUGAAGAUGCUGAUCCAGGAGGUUGAUCAUGAUGGAAACCCAACCAUGGAGUGCUGGAUUAAGAGUCCUUUUUGCAUUUGAGUUUUGGUUUAGCCAAGUCAAGAGUCCUUCUUAUAUUUUGUUCCUAAAUUAAGUCAGGAUUAGCAUCUUUGUUUGAUUAAGUUUCUGAGUUACGAGUCCUUGUUGGUUUAGCCUUAAGAGUUAGUUUUUCUUUGAGUUGUUUGCGAUGAGUUACAGUGUGUGCGAUCCUAUAUAAGGAAUCGCAAGGAGGGCUUGUUCCUUCUUCUGCUUGGUCUUUGUUUUUUCAGCCGUCAAUGAAUGAAAAUUAUGCUUGAGAGUUGCAGCGUUAAUCUCCUACUUCAUGCUCGGUUUCUGGUUCAGCAAACAGAGUUUUACUUGAUUUUUGCAGUGCCUAUUUGGUUCUGAGUUUCCCUCAGACCCAGCAGCAUUGUGAACUCCUUUAUAUUCUCCACGCUCCAGCCGCAUCAAUCCA
rnacentral:lncRNA from 1 species